UUAUCUGCCAAUUGCCUCUUAAGAGGACUUAACCUGCUUAGCACAAAAUUAAACAAGUAAAAACAUGGCCUCUUAAGGAGGGCUUCAGACAGGUGCCUACCAAAUGGUAGGUCUUCCAGACUACGUGAAGAUCAAGGAUUAUACCUAGGUGGUAUGCCAACCACAAGCAAAGCAAAAUUCAAAUGAACUUAAAGCAACUUAGGUACCUGUGUAAACAACUAAACAAAUCAGUACAGUAUUUAGACAAACAGACAAUAGUCAACAACAAACAGAC
rnacentral:lncRNA from 1 species